UUACGGCCAUAUCACUUUAAAACACCGGUUCCCAUACGAUCACCCGAAGUUAAGCAACGUCGACUCUAGUCAGUACCUAAAUGGUGACUUCUUGGGAAUACCAGAUGCUGUAAG